GGAGGGUCGGGACGAGGCCGCCCCGGCCGCCCGUUCCUCGGCGGGGUGGGGGCGGGCGCCGCCGCCGGCGUCGGCGCGAGGGCGGCCGCGGGAGGUUCGCACGGGCACCGCAACAGCGCUGCGGGUGGCGCGGGCGGGCGUGGCGCGUGGAGGGUGGCCGGAGCCGGCGCCGUCCUCGCCGCCGCAGCGCUCGCUUGGUGCUGAUCGCACCUGCUGAAGGCGUAUUCCAGAUUCGAGGGGUGGUUCCUCAUUUUUGGUGUGUACUACUAGAGGGCGUGGUUGGUAGCACGAGUUCAUAGUAGUAGAACAGUUGGUUGAUGCGUUUGUAUGUACUACUACGCUGUUCUGGGAUCUGAAAAUCGAAGAUUGUGAUUAGCUGUAGGACGAGUUUGUGGUAGUGUUGAGUAAUUGUCACGAACUGAAAAUGCAGAGGGGUUGAAGGCCUUGUUGCCGGCUUGCUUGUGUGGUACUGUACAUUCAAAUCUGCGAAUGCUUUUCUGGUUUCUGUAACUUGUGUGGUAUGUCCAUUGCUUCAGAAAUACUUGGUGCUGAAAUAGGCCUGAGCAUACGUGAGGGAGGUGCCGUAUCCCGUAUCAGAUACGGCUAAGAUACAUGAUAGAUACGUGAUGGAUAAUGUAUUCAGAAUAAAAAUAUAUACAGUAAAUGUUGAUACGUGGCCGUGUCACGUAUCGGACUGAUUUUGCGAUACGGCCUAGCCGAACAACACCUCUUAUCCACACACCUGCUACCCUACCG
rnacentral:lncRNA from 1 species